NNNNNNNNNNNNNNNNNNNNNNNNNNNNNNNNNNNNNNNNNNNNNNNNNNNNNNNNNNNNNNNNNNNNNNNNNNNNCACUCCAGCCUGGGCGACAGAGACUCUGUCUGAAAUAAAUACAUAAAUAAAUAAAUAAUAAAGGGCACCUGGGAUUAUUAUUAUUUGGUAGGAAUGAUGAGACGGUCAGGGCCCAGGGCAGGAUGGGCACCCACAACCAAGACAGUGGUGAGGUCUCUCCAGUUUUAAGACCAGGCACAUGACAUCCUGCAUCAGGAAGCCAAAUGGACCCUGGGCCUCGCAAAGCAGACCUUGCUUGGGCUUGAGAAGGUUCCCCAGGCCCCUCCAUGACCCAGAUGAAAUAGUCUUUGGGCUGGUUCCCUCCCUUUAUGCUGGUCCUGGCCCCUCUGGCAGGCUUUUGGCAUGUAGACCCCAAGAAGAGCUGCUCUGGAGAACUACAUGAUCACAGCAGUAACAUAGCUCCCUCCUUCCCUAUUUCUAAAUUGCUCAUGUAGUGUCUGGUUUCUCCUUCAGUCUUCUGAACAAACAUUGUGACAAGCAGUUCCCAAAGACCAGAACCUUAUAGGGUAUUUACAAAAUCAAAGUUUUGCUCCUGGAAAGCUUGGGACUAAAGCCUGGUCAACAGAGACCCUUUUUCCCCAGGACUUGUACAAGGGAGCCUCUGCCUAUGGGACUCUCACAAUUUUUUUUUUUUUUUUUUUGAGACAGAGUCUCGCUCUGUUGCCCAGGCUGGAGUGCAAUGGUACAGUCUCGGCUCACUGCAACCUCCGCCUCCCAGGUUCAAAUGAUUCCCCUGUCUCAGCUUCCCAAGUAGCUGGGACUACAGGGGCAUGCCACCACACCCGGUUAAUUUUUGUAUUUUUAGUAGAGAUGGGGUUUCACUAUGUUGGUCAGGCUGGUCUCCACCUUCUGACCACGUGAUCCGCCCAUCUCAGCCUCCCAAAGUGCUGGGAUUGCAGGCGUGACCCACCACGCCUGGCUGGGACUCUCACAUUUUAAAACUGGGGCAUAGGAGGACAUAGGCCACGGAACUAAACACCCAUGGCCAGAGUUAAGGGUGCAAGCCCUUAACUAAAUCCAGCUAAAUCCAGGCUAAAUCCAGCCUGCGUAUAGCCCACAGAUCCACUUUGGAUUGGCUGGCCCUAGAGUGGUUUUAUUUAUUUAUUCAUUUAAUUAAUUUAUUUAUUUAAUUUAUUUAUGUUUAUUUUUGAGAUGGACUCUCACUCUGUCACCCAGGCUGGAGUGCAACGGCGUGAUCAUGGCUCACUGCAACUUCCGCCUCCAGGGUUCAAGUGAUUCUCCUGCCCUAGCCUCUUGAGUAGCUGGGACUACCGGUGCCCAACACCACGCCUGGCUAAUAUUUUUGUAUUUUUAGUAGAGGCAGGGUUUCACCAUGUUGGCCAGGCUGGUCUCGAACUCCUGGGCUCAAGCAGUCCUCCCACCUUGGUCUCCCAAAGUUCUGAGAUUAUAGGCAUGAGCCACUGUACCUGGCCUAGUCUCUUAUUUUUAGUAUCAGGAAACUGAGGCUUAGAGAAGUGAAGUGACUAGCUUCACUAGUAACAGUAAUGAUCUGAACAAAGCCAGACAGAAAGUUAGCAACAGUGGCAGAUCUGCUGAUAAAAGGUAGGCCUCUUGUUCCUGAGCUAGAUCUUCUUCUACCAUACUAGGCUGCCUGUGCCAGAACUAAAGAAAAGAGCUGGGGCCGGGUGUGGUGGCUCACGCCUGUAAUCCCAACACUUUGGGAGGCCGAGGCAGGCCAAUCACGAGGUCAGGAGAUUGAGGCCAUCCUGGCUAACAUGGUGAAACCCUGUCUCUACUAAAAAUACAAAAAAUUAGCUGCGCAUGGUGGCACGUACCUGUAAUCCUAGCUAUUUGGGAGGCUGAGGCAGGAGAAUCACUUAUACCCAGGAGGUAGAGGUUGCAGUGAUCCGAGAUGGCACCACUGCACCCCAGCCUGGGAGACAGAGCAAGACUCCGUCUCAAAAAAAAAAAAAAAAAAAAAAAAAAAGAAAAAGAGAAAAAGAAAAGAGCUGGGGUUAUUAAAGAGAGAUACGGAGAUGGAAGCCAGCCCUGGGAGAUGUGGCAUCUGCCUGGGGAUGUUGGACUCAUACCCCUGAGAGGAUAGAGGAGAUGCAGCUACAAAGUUUCAGAUUCUGAGACUGGAAAGAAUUGAAUGGGAAGACAUGGACUUGCUGCCCUUCCCAUCACCCUUUCAGUUCCUGCCCUUGGCUCUAACCUGGGUAAGGGAUGCGGCCGUGGGUGACAAUUUCCGUCAGCAGGAUCCCAAAAGACCACACAUCUGACUUGAUGGUGAAUGUCCCGUAGUUAAUGGCUUCUGGCGCUGUCCACUUAAUGGGAAACUUGGCCCCUAAGGAGGAGGCAGAGUGAGGUCACCUGGGUCUGCUUGGCCAGACCCAGCAGGGCCCAGACCACCCUUAAAUCUCACACGUACCCUCCCUGGCUGUGUACUCGUUGUCCUCAAUGAGGCGUGCUAGGCCAAAGUCUGCAAUCUUGCAGCUCAGGGUGUCAGACACCAGAAUGUUGGCAGCCCGAAGGUCACGAUGAAUAUAAUUCCGCUCUUCAAUGAAUGCCAUGCCUUCUGCAAUCUGCAGGCCAAACACAGAUCAGCGGUCCUGAGCCUUUCUCCUCCAACUGGGAGUCUAGAAGUGUGUCUGACAUGUGAAAAGGAAGAUUGAAGAGUGAGAAUGGAGGAGUGUGUGUUCAGGGUAAGGAUGCCCAGGAUAUGUAAAGGUUUUUUUGCGGAGGGGCUAGGGUAGAGCAUGCUGGGAGGGAUCUGUAGGUUUUUCAUCACCAAUAAGGUAGAACCUAGAAUCCUCAACUAGUAUCCUAAGCUUGGCAUGGUCCACACUGGUAGCUUCUUCUCUUUCCCCCGCUCUGCCUUUGACUUCAAACACUUUAGCAAUUUUGAGAUCCUGCACUCAGACCACUAGGCUCUCACCCCAAAGCCUCUUUGUUUCAUCUCUGCCUGCUAAAAAAAAUUCUACUUUUCUUUCAUGGCCCAGCUAGACUGCCCCUCUAGGAAGCCUCUCUAGAUCCUACCAGGCAUAAUAAACUGGAUCAUCAUCUACACUUCCAUGGGCAUGCUGGAACUUUCCCAUGGCACAAACUCUGGUUUCCCCAGUAGCUGUAACUAAAAUCAGGUUUCCCUGACAACAGGAACCUUGUUUCAUCCAUCUAUGUUCCUGGUGCCCAGCCGAGAGUAAGAAACAAUAACUAUGUGCUGAAUAUAUUGGAUGGAAUAAGAAAGAGGAGGUCUGGGGGUCUGAGGGACCACCCUCUCUAAUAGUGGAGGGCAGCUGGACAUGGAUGGGAGUUGCUAGGAUGCAAUGAGUGACCAAUGGCCCUUCCCAAGAGAUUAAAACCCUGUAAAAGGAUGACAGCAACCUGAGUGUCCCCACUUUGAGUGCUGAACUAGUUACCAAAGAUAAAGACCUCACCUACACACAGCAAAUACAUAGACAUAGAUAUACUGCCAUUCUUCCAUUGUAUCCAUGGCAGAUGUUACUAAUCAUUCCUGGCACUCACUUCCAAUGAACCUCAGAAUCCUUCUCCAGCACUACAAGCAACUACCAAUCAAAGUCGAUACACAUGAUAGGCUGGGCAUGGUGGCUCACACCUGUAAUCCUGGUGGCUCACACCUGUAAUCCCAGCACUUUGGGAAGCUGAGGUGGGUGGAUCACAAGGUCAGGAGUUCGAGACCAGCCUGGCCAACAAGGCGAAAACCUGUCUCUAAACAAAAGACAACCAUUUGUCUUAUAAACAAAAAAUACAAAAAGGGUGCACACCUGUGGUUCCAGCUACUUGGAAGGCUGAGGUGGGAGGACUGCUUGAGCCUGGGAGGCAGAGGUGGUAGUGAGCCAGGAUCAAGCCACUGCACUCCAGCCUGGAGGACAGAGUGAGACUCAAAAAAAAUAAAAGAUACACAUGACAUAAUCUAUUUGCCAUUUCCCAUUAGCCAAUGAACAGCUUGUUUCUCUUCCUGAAAAAAGGAUAGAUCUUACACUCCCAAAGAAUCAGAGCCAGAUAACAGCAACAAACUUGUUGAUCAGUUACUAUAUGGUAGCCAUAGUUUUGUGGGUUUUUUGUUUUGAGACAAGGUCUCGCUCUGUUACCCAGGUUGGAGUGCAGUGGUGCAAUCACAGCUCAGUGCAGCCUCAACCUCCUGGGCUCAAGUGAUCCUCCCACCUCAGCCUCCCAAGUAGCUGGGACUACAGGCAUACACCACUAUGCCCAGCUAAUUUUUAAACAUUUUUUUGUAGGAAUGAGGUCUCGCUAUGUUGCACAGACUGGUCUUGAACUUCUGGGCUCAAGUGAUCCACCCACCUUGGCCUCCCAAAGUGCUGGAGUUAUAGGCUUGAGCCACAGCACCUGGAAGUAGGCAUAGUUCUAACUGCUCUGUAUGCAUUAAUUAUUUCAUCCUCACAAGACCCUGUGAGGAAGUUACUAAUGCCUUAUUAUAGUAGGAAACCAUGGCAGAAAGAGGUGAUAUAAUUAUCACGAAGCCAUAAAAUCAUGAAGCCAGGCUUCUGACCCAGGCAGUCAGACUCUAGAGGCCUUGAUGAAUACUCUGUA
rnacentral:lncRNA from 1 species